rnacentral:tmRNA from 1 species
GGGGCUGACCGGAAUUGACAGGUUGAAUGAUUACGUGAGUAAGCAUGCAGGCUCAUAGGAUGAGAGCCUUGAAAGAUAGUCCUACACUAUAAUUGGCGAAGAUAACUCUUACGCUUUGGCUGCUUAAUCUAAGAUCAGAUCUUGAUUAGCUCAUCCCGAUAUAGAGUCGGGAGGCCAUCAUCGCUCCUGGUCAUCGUUUUACUGAACAGGGCUCAGCGGUGUCGAAAAGUAAAACUAGUCAAAAUAGCGUUGCGAUAUUUUGAUGAAGCUUAAGUAACUAAGGUAGUGUUUGGUUGCCUUUCACCUGGCGCUACUCGAAAAUUAAUGAAAGGAUAAGCAUGUAGAAGGCACGAUAGUUAUCUUCUCUGGACCAGGGUUCGAAUCCCUGCAGCUCCACUA